rnacentral:rRNA from 1 species
UACGGGGGGGGUAAGCGUUGUUCGGAAUUACUGGGCGUAAAGGGCUCGUAGGCGGCCAACUAAGUCAUACGUGAAAUCCCUCAGCUUAACUGGGGAACUGCGUCUGAUACUGGAUGGCUUGGAUUCGGGAGAGGAAUGCGGAAUUCCAGGUGUAGCGGUGAAAUGCGUAGAUAUCUGGAGGAACACCGGUGGCGAAGGCGGCAUCCUGGACCGGCAUUGACGCUGAGGCGCGAAAGCUAGGGGAGCAAACGGG